UAAGCUCCAUCCAAGGCUAAAUACCGGGACGAGUCCGAUAGUCGACAAGUACCGUGAGGGAAAGUUGAAAAGAACUUUGGAGAGAGAGUUCAAGAGAACGUGAAACCGCCCAGGGGUAAACGGGUGGGACCGCUCACCGCGAUCGCGGGGGGACUCAGUCCGGUGCUGCCUAGGCUCGAGCCCAAACUCGAUGUGUACCUCUAACAGGCUGUCGCGGACGUCGUCGUCGUGUCCGCGGGGACUCGUUCUCCGCGGGCCAGCUUUUGUGCCCGCGUCGCYGACGAAGGAGACGGGCCGCGUAGACAGCGGGAAGGGAAACGUGGUGACGACCGCGGCGACGGCGGCUGCGAUGGGGGGGACCGCGGGGUUCGCGCCUCUCGCCCUCUCUACUCGCUGCCGCCGGCCUGCCGCAUCCGUCGCCGCCGCUUCUUCUUUCCUCCCGCUCCCUCUGCGCGCGACUCCGCUGCACUCGUCGCCUUCUCACCGCUCGGCAAUCUAUGGCGCGGGCGCUUCGGCGCGACUUCCGCACGGCCGGCACCGGACGCACUUCCCCUCCGGUCCGUCGUCGCGACCCGUUCCCGGCGUGCAGGUCGACACGCGGGUUUUUCCGUAGGCGGCAGGCGCUUUUGAAAACCCCCGCCCGUUCACUCGUGGACGGGCGGGGGCCACCGGCCGUCGGGCCCGCGAACGUAACUGCCCCCUUCUGCCGGGGACGGAGGAAAUCUGACGCGAUCCGUUAUACGUGGCGAGCCGGUUCGUCUUUAAUCCCGUCGGACGUCUCGCGCGGGCGACGCUCGCGUCGCUCCCUCGGCGCCCCACCGUCUCGGGCGUGCGCGAGAGAAGAGUCGGGAGAGAACUGGCGCGGCCUCGCCGUCACGCACCUCGCCGGUGUUCGGGUUCUUUCGGGGUUUCUUGCCCCGACCGCGCCCGUUCCGUCCGGCGUCGGUCGCUCGGCGACGCCCUUUUUUCGGCCGCCCGCCACCUCGGGUCAGCGACGUGCAUCGGCAACCCACCCGACCCGUCUUGAAACACGGACCGAGGAGUCCUGGCCGUUCGCGAGUCGUAGGGGCCCCCUCUGACUAACCCCGAAGGCGUAGCGAAAGCGAGAGAGCGUGUCGGAGGGCGCCGACCGGGAGAGGUGUCGUGGCGAAGUCGUCGGGGGGAGGGACGGCGUGCGGUUUCGGCCGUCUCUCCGUUCCCCCCCUCCGCCUCCGAGCCGUGCCCGAUCCCGCCGGCGCGGUGUCUCGCCUUCCGUCGCCGUUCGCCGCAGGUUCCGCACUUCUCCUCCUCGCGAGGCGAGGGAGGGCCUGCGGCUGGCGCGCGGUCGUAGAUUCUCGCUCGUUCCCUCCUCCCCUAGACGGGGACCGGACGUCAGGGAAUUGCGGGGCAUCAGCUUCCAUCCUCCUUCCGCCCAUCGGUGAGAUCCCGCGGCUUGAACUAGUCCUAUUUUGUCGUCGAGUUUAGGCACUGCGCGCGGGCGCAUCACCCCCGGGUCGGUUCCCUUCUCCGAGUACGACUCGGCCGACUCUGGCGUAGCGAGCGACCAGGGACCCGAAAGAUGGCGAUCCACGCCCGGUCGGGAUGAAGCCAGAGGAAACUCUGGUGGAAGUCCGAAGCGCCUCUGACGUGCAAAUCGAUCGUCGGAACCGGGUGUAGGGGCGAAAGACCAAUCGAGCCGUCUAGUAGCUGGUUCCCUCCGAAGUUUCCCUCAGGAUAGCUGGCGCUCGAUCGUCGCAAUUCCAUCCGGUAAAGCGAACGAUUGGAGGCCCCGGGGCCGUUCACGGCCUCGACCUACUCUCGAACUCGGAACGGGUGGAACGGGCCGACUCUCCCGAACAACGGAGCCGACCCCAGAUUUUCGCGUCGCCCCCCCCCCSSSGGGCGGCGUCGAAAACGAAUGCGAGUGCCAAGUGGGCCACUUUUGGUAAGCAGAACUGGCGCUGUGGGAUGAACCAAACGUCCGGCUAAGGUGCCUAACGCGACGCCCAUGAGAUCCCCGAAAGGGUGUCGGUCGAUAUAGACAGCAGGACGGUGGCCACGGAAGUCGGAAUCCGCUAAGGAGUGUGUAACAACUCACCUGCCGAAUCGACCGGCCCCGAAAAUGGAUGGCGCUGGAGCGACGGACCGAUGCCGGACCGUCGCGGCGAGGAGCGAUGAUUCUUUCGCGCCGAAACGAUGCCGCGACGAGUAGGAGGGCGCCGCGGCGAGCACGGAAGCCUAGGGCGCGAGCCCGGGUGGAGCCGACCGCGGGUGCAGAUCUCGGUGGUAGUAGCAAAUAUUCGAACGAGACCUUCGAAGACCGAAGUGGAGAAGGGUUCCGUGCCAACGGCGGUCGAGCACGGGUCAGUCGGUCCUAAGACGCGGGCGAAAGUCUUCCCGAAAGGCGCCGGAUCCGUAGUGCAGAAAUGUGGAAAAUAAAAAAACGGUCGGACCGUCCGGCGUCGUCGAGAGGCGACAAAAAGACGGGACGACCGAAAAUAAAAAAAACACACAACGACAG
rnacentral:rRNA from 1 species